rnacentral:lncRNA from 1 species
UGUUGCUGUCACUGAUGGAAUUUGAUUGUUGCCAUCCUGUAGCCCAAGUCAGGCUGUGGUGGGAACAAAGCACACGAAAGUGAAGCCUGCUUCUGCGGUGUGACUUCUGCUCUCAAGCUCUUUUGUAUACAGAAGAGGGUUCAAGACUCCUAAGAAGCACAGCAGAACAGGAACAAGAGCCUCAGCUCCUGGCUGAGGGAGAGGAGUCUCAGGAGACAGCUGAGCCCAGCUCAUGGACUCCUUGCAGAACAAAGAAUGUCAUGGCACUAUUUACGAUUUUUUGAAAGUUUUAUUUUUGAUGUCUUCAUUUUUUUUGUUUAUUUUCAGCAUGGGAAAUAUUGUCUUAUGAUCAGCUGAAUUUUAUUAUCCUCCCUUGGAAACUUCAAGGUGGGGGGAAAGAARGAGAGAGAGAGAAGGGGACUCUCUAGGAAGAUCAUCUGCUCCAGGCAUUAUGGGCUUGAUGUGACUACUGAUGUGUUCCUGCUGAGCAGCUGAGUGGCGAGGGCAGAUGGGGGAGCUGCGCAGCAUUGGGAACUGUUGACGAAGCAGCCAGACUUUUGGGAAACCACUUUUGAAGACUGGCGAGCGUUAUAUAACACUGGAUUUGAACUCCCAUUUAGAAAAUGGGAGCAGAAGAAACGGGCAAAUAUCACUGAUCUUGACAAAUUUGAGUGGAGCAGCGAGCAGGACCCUGCGUGGGCUGAAAGCGCUCGCUCYUGCGCAGUGCUCGGCAGCAGGGGGGAGGAAGGGUUUAACCAGGCGUCCGGACCUGCCCAGACCCGGGACUAUUGAACCACCGUUUGGUAGAAAUGCAGCUUUGCUUAAUUUUCUCAUAUUUUUUUUGUGUGCUUAAUUUAUUAAAAUAGUUGCUGUAUAAUUUAUUUUCAUAAA